CCCCCCCCCCUUUUUGGACUUUUGAGUGGUGGAGAGGUUGCACCGCGGUGAGCAGAGACACAAGGGAAAGAGAAGUGGGAAGAAAGCACCAUCCAACCUCAGUCAACCCUAUCUGUUGAGAUCGGUCAGCAGUACAAUGGGGACUCCACACCCAAUGUGGAGCCCAGCAUGGAACUUGAACUCACAACCCUGAGAUCAACACCUGAGCUGAGAUCAAGAGUCGAAUGCUUAACCAACUGAGCCACCCAAGCACCCCUAAAUGCUUACUUUUAUUUGCCCUAAUAAACUCUAGUUUCAAAAGGUAA